rnacentral:rRNA from 1 species
AUUGAACGCUGGCGGCAGGCUUAACACAUGCAAGUCGAGCGGGGGAAGGUAGCUUGCUACCGGACCUAGCGGCGGACGGGUGAGUAAUGCUUAGGAAUCUGCCUAUUAGUGGGGGACAACAUCUCGAAAGGGAUGCUAAUACCGCAUACGUCCUACGGGAGAAAGCAGGGGAUCUUCGGACCUUGCGCUAAUAGAUGAGCCUAAGUCGGAUUAGCUAGUUGGUGGGGUAAAGGCCUACCAAGGCGACGAUCUGUAGCGGGUCUGAGAGGAUGUGCGGCCACACUGGGACUGAGACACGGCCCAGACUCCUACGGGAGGCAGUAGUGGGGAAUAUUGGACAAUGGGGGGAACCCUGAUCCAGCCAUGCCGCGUGUGUGAAGAAGGCCUUAUGGUUGUAAAGCACUUUAAGCGAGGAGGAGGCUACUUUAGUUAAUACCUAGAGAUAGUGGACGUUACUCGCAGAAUAAGCACCGGCUAACUCUGUGCCAGCCGCCGCCGUAA